rnacentral:rRNA from 1 species
CACGUAAGGAGCGAGCGUUGUUCGGAAUUAUUGGGCGUAAAGGGCAUGUAGGCGGUUAUAUAAGUCUGAUGUAAAAUCCCACAGCUUAACUGUGGAUCUGCAUUGGAAACUGUAUGACUUGAAUCUGUGAGGGGUAACUGGAAUUCCUAGUGUAGGGGUGAAAUCUGUUGAUAUUAGGAAGAACACCGAUGGCGAAGGCAAGUUACUGGCACAUGAUUGACGCUGAUGUGCGAAAGCGUAGGGAGCGAACAGG